UCAACAAUUGAUUGACAAUAUUUCUAUUCUUCGACAAUAAGUAGUAUUCAAAGUAUUACAGUAUUUAUUUUUCUUUGUUAACAGGGAAAGAGAAGGCAAGCAUUUGCAGAGCUCGGUUUUCAAAGAAUAUUAAAAAUCGCUCGCACUAGAAUCCGCAUAGAAAUGAAUGAGACUCCGCCGAUUCUAAGCGCCGGUUUAUUGGGAAUGAUGGAAGAUUCGCUCUGAGGACAGGUAUAUAACAUUAAGUCAAGUCAAGCACCAUGGAAGCUACAAUGUUUUUCAGUUUCAGGACAACGACGCAAGACAACGCAUUGACAUCGAAUUCAACCCGUGGAGCACCAUAAAGGUUCUGGUCACUUACUAUUUGAAUCUCCCAAUGUAACAGGACGUGAAUCACGUAGACCAUAUCAUCCGAUCAACUAUGUUGCUUAUAGAGCAUAGCUCUAUAAGCUCCAGUUGAUUAAAUCAUUAAUGUAAACAUUAAUGAACAUGGGUCCAGGAAUGGAGCUUUUAGACAUGCUUUGGUUUACAGUAAAUUAGUCUGUAUAAUUGUAAUGACAUAUUCUGCAUAGGGCUUUCUAUAAAUUAUGGCUUUUAUAUGAUAUAUGGUUGGUAUAAAAGAUCUCUAUCUGCAGAGGACACGACGACUGACAUUUGGGUGUUUAAAGACCUUCGGGGUAUAAAUUCAUGUUCUGUUUGAUCUACAAUUAUUUAUAUUUAUAUUUUUAAUGCAAUCUUUACUCGUUGCUAUAUUUAUUUUAAAUUGACAAAUUUUUAUCAAAAUUUUUACCCCAAAAACAUUUGAUUAAAAUAUUAAUAACACAAUAAUUAGAUUUUUGCCAUUGAUUUCAAUUUAGUAAAUUAAUCGAAUAGCAACGAAUAACCAGUUUUAUUCCCUGAUGUUAAUCUGUCAAGCAAUCAGGGUCAGUUUCUGGAAAUCAAAAAACUACCACAAAAUGAGUGUCACCUUGACGUGGCUUUGUGGCUUAAUGUGUGAAAAUUUUAUCAAGUUUUACACAUAAGGUUUUCCACAGACUAAGUACACUCGACAGAAGUAUUUCGAAACAAUUUAAUUUUAAAAUCAUACAAUACAAAAAAGCAGUAAGGACAGGAAACAACAAGACAGGAAACUCAUAUGUUGUUUAUAGACUUAACGAAGGCAUAUGAUAAUAUCCCAACAUCAAAACUAUGGGAUUAAAAGAGAUAAAUAUUAAUAACACACUUAUUAAAGCAUGAAACUGGAAGAAAGAGAAAAGAUUGAGAGAUGUGAGCUUUACAAUUAUCUGUAAUACAAAUUCAUCAAGAUGGAAGAGAUGCAUUAGAAAUUAAUACCUGUACAUUAAUACAAGAAUAGCCCAAGGUAAGAGAAAAGUUAAAAAAUUAAAUGGAAUAUGAUGGAGUGAAGAAAUAACUAGAUUUAAAAAAAAGAAUAUAUAAUGCUAUUGUUAAAAACAUUCUAUUAUACGGAGCGGAGGCAUGGAGAAUGGCUGGAGAAGACAAAAGUAACAACAGUUGAAAUGAAUGUAUUGAGAAGAUCGUGCAGAAUCUCGAAAAGAGAAAGAAUAACUAAUGAGAGGAUCAAAGAUCUAGUGAGAUUAAAGGAGACGGUUUUGGAAGAAAUACAGAGGAAACAACUUAUUUGAUUUGGACAUGUAAAAAGAAUGAGUAAUGAGAGACUCCCGAAAAUUUCAAAAUACAUUCCACAAAAAAAAGGGAAAUAGAGGAAGACCUACGCGAACUUGGUACGACGAAUUAAAGUUAGCAGGUAGUGAAAACGGGAUUAAAGAGGAAUGGUGUAUGGAUAGAAAGAGAUGGAAAGGAUUCCUGGAGAUCGGAAGGCGACGUCAUACACCAUAAACCGAAAAUAGAUAGAUGGUGUUAUGACAUGUUCAUUGCAAGUUGACAGUAGUAUGUGUAGUUUUGCUCAUAGUUUGCAACUUUCGAUGAUAAGGAUGUUGCGAAGAAAUUAUUAAGAAUUGGUAAGUGCAAUUUGGUUGUCUGGCAUUUCAAAUGUUUAUGCAGUUGCAACAAGUGCAACAAAUUCGCUUAUCAGGAAGGUCACAACUUUCCUAAAUAUAAAUUGAUUUAAUCAUAGAAACUCAUUAGAAUUUAACACUUCAAAUUAUUGAAGGAUUUCAGAAGCAAAGAGAAGCGAUUAUAAAUGAUAUCUACGGCAAAAAUAUCACUAAAAAUUCUGAAGAGAACACUACUAUAUCAAUUUCAAUUUGUUACUCAAUAACUUUUUAGAAUUGGAAGAAAACUGAAAAAACAAGUAACUUUUCAAAAUAUAUUUUGAAUUAAUAUAAAAACCCUAUUUAAGAUAAAAAUAGAAUGUAGAUUGCUGUAUCUCUUUUGCCUGUUUAACUGCUUUAUACCGGUGAUGCAAAUAACUAACAAUACGAAUUCGUAUUAUUGAAACUGGAAAGCUGGCAGAAAAGCUUUAAAUCGCUACUAUAUAAUCAAAACAGAAAAGUUACAUCGAACUGUUUCUAGAAAAUGCGCUAGAUACAGUGAAUUUAAGAGUAUAUUCCGAGCUCCUUUUCUCUUCGCUUAGUUGUGUGUAUCGUCGUCUGAGCACGGAAUUUAGAACUUAGUUUUCUAAUUACUUAUUAUUAAAUAUUUACCGUGCCAAAUACUAAAAAUUCUGGUAUCUAAUUUCUACAAACAGAAAACAAAAGAAAAGUGAAUUAAACAAAAAAAAUCAAAUAAUUAUAACACAAAAUCUAUAUGUAAAAUUGAAUUUAAAACUGCUUUUCUGUUAUCGUUUAAUUCAGAAAUACAAGCAGUUUCAAAUUAUAUUGUACUUUCAAAUCAUUCCUAAUCCAUUUAUGUC